GGCCUGUGAUCCACAUAAAAUUUGUCCGUACCAUCUGAUUAUAUUUAUGUGAUGUGUUGAAACCUUAGCUUCUGAGGCCU
rfam:Jatropha curcas cultivar GZQX0401 scaffold392_61, whole genome shotgun sequence.